rnacentral:rRNA from 1 species
UGGGGAAUAUUGGACAAUGGGCGAAAGCCUGAUCCAGCCAUGCCGCGUGUGUGAAGAAGGUCUUCGGAUUGUAAAGCACUUUAAGUUGGGAGGAAGGGCAGUAAGCGAAUACCCUGCUGUUUUGACGUUACCGACAGAAUAAGCACCGGCUAACUCUGUGCCAGCAGCCGCGGUAAUACAGAGGGUGCAAGCGUUAAUCGGAAUUACUGGGCGUAAAGCGCGCGUAGGUGGUUCGUUAAGUUGAAUGUGAAAGCCCCGGGCUCAACCUGGGAACUGCAUCCAAAACUGGCGAGCUAGAGUAGGGCAGAGGGUGGUGGAAUUUCCUGUGUAGCGGAGAAAUGCGUAGAUAUAGGAAGGAACACCAGUGGCGAAGGCGACCACCUGGGCUCAUACUGACACUGAGGUGCGAAAGCGUGGGGAGCAAACAGG